UACGGAGGGAGCUAGCGUUGUUCGGGAUUACUGGGCGUAAAGCGCGCGUAGGCGGCUUUGUAAGUUAGAGGUGAAAGCCCGGAGCUCAACUCCGGAACUGCCUUUAAAACUGCAUCGCUUGAAUCCAGGAGAGGUGAGUGGAAUUCCCGGUGUAGAGGUGAAAUUCGUAGAUAUCGGGAGGAACACCAGUGGCGAAGGCGGCGACCUGGGCCAAUAUUGACGCUGAGGUGCGAAAACGUGGGGAGCAAACAGG
rnacentral:rRNA from 1 species